GCUGGGCAUGGUGGCUCACGCCUGUAAUCCCAGAAUUCUGGGAGGCUGAGGCGGGAGGAUUGCUUGAGCCCAGGAGUUUGAGACCAGCCUGGGCAACACGGCAAAACCCCGUCUCUA
rnacentral:SRP_RNA from 1 species